ensembl:lncRNA novel transcript, intronic to CATSPERB
UCAUGAGAAACACCUCCAUGAUCCAAUCACCUCCCACCAGGCCCCACCUCCAACAUUAGAGAUUACAAUUCAACAUGAGAUUUGGGCGGGGACACAGAUCCAAUCCAUAUCAGGCAUCUAACUCCCACACCUGUGGCUGGAGCCCAUGCCACUCACCUCUCCUACUCAAAACUAGAUUGCAAAUUCCCAUCCAGAGACUCUCCAAAUCAGUGACUGCAACCCAUGCUUGUUGGCAGGUUCUUAUACAACCCACUAUGAGUUAGCAUCAAAAAUGGCUUUCUCCUAUCAGCACCCAUGUUUGGGAGUGUGUGUGGGGUACUUCCCAGUGCCGUUCCUUCUCAUGGUCUCCUGACUGCUCCCUGAGUCAGAUCAGGGCUUGGUAAAGUCAAGAAGCUCCUCCAUGGCCUGGAUUGCCUGGCUGUCCAGUGGGAAUGUGUAUCACAGAGACAGUUUCUCCCCGUCUCACACACUGAGGAUUCACUCACAGUUUCCCACCAGAUCCACCCCGCAGGCUGCUGCUUGCCUUAUUUUUCAGAGUAUCCAAAGUUUCUUUCACUUUUAUGUUGAACUCCCGUGUUCUUUCUUGGAUAAAAUUUCACAGUAUGAAUCUCUACACAUUAUUUUGCCUUUUCCAAAUGCAUGAGGCAAGCUGGCAAAGCCACUAUUCUGCUAUGUUGGGGAGAAAAACAGAAAUGGUUGUCUUAAUAGAUACAUGCUUUAAAAUUAAUCUAAGCUAGAUGUAGUUUUCAAUGAACUAAUGUAUAUUGAGUGUCUAUUAUAUAUGGAAUCCAGAGAAGACUGUUUCUUUGUAUUUUUUUUUGUUUUAUAGUACUAUGAUUCAUUUGAAACCUAUUAUCAGCCUUAUGACCAUACCAAGUUGUGCCAGUCAUUUAAAAUUUUUAGUUUUUCAUUAUUCAACAUACAUUGAUAUACAGCCUUACAUGCAUGUCUAUGAGAAAGUGGUAGGAGAAAGCUCUCAGCUGAUUUUUGUGCAACUGAAUGACCAUUAAUGCUUGGCAAUCUUCCCAACUGAAUCUGACUCAAGUAGAAAUAGUUAACAUUAAUCAAAAGAGAUUAAUUACCUGCCACCAGUCUUUUGAAACAGUCUGUCCUGAGAAAAAGAGAAUUCGAUGAUAUGUAAAUCCAUGUUCUUUGGGAAUGCUUAUUUCUCCUUUUCUUGGGAUACAGAAGAAGAGACAGACUCAGAUACAAACCUCAAUACCUGAAAUCAUUAGCUUUGGUCUUGGUGGGAUCAAAACCAAAAAAUAAAAGCUAUUAAUAUGUGAUUGAAUACACAAACACACGUGCGUGCACACACACACACACACAUUUAUUAUAAGGAAUUGGCAUAUGUGAUUAUGGCAACUGGGAAGUCCAAGAAUCUGCAAUGUGGUCUGGCAGGCUCAAGACCCAAGAGAGCUGAUGGUGCAGUUCCAGUCUCACAGAAGUCUGCUGGAGAAUUUCCUCUGGCUUGGAGAAGGUGGUCUUUUCAUUCUACUCAGGUCUUCUAUUGAUUGGAUAAAGUGCACAUACAUCAUGGAGGGCAAUCUUCUUUACUCAGAGGACAUCAGUGUCAAUGUUAUUCCCAUCCAGAAACACCUUCCAAGUUGACACAUAAAAUUAACAAUACACUUUUCCUCAUCUCACCCAAAUUUAGGUUAAGAGUUCUGGAUACCUGAAUUAAUAUUGCCAUUGGAAUGCCACUUUUACUUUUGGAGAAAAAUUAGAAAUAACAUUUUAUAAAAUUAAAAAACUGUAGGCUAGGCACACUGGUUUACACCUAUAAUCCCAGCACUUUUGGAGGCCAAGGCAGGAGGAUCCCUUGAGCCCAGGAGUUCAAGUCUAGCCUGGGCAACAUAAGGAGAUCCUGUCUCUACAAAAAAAAAAAAACAAAAAAACUGUAGCUAGGCAUGGUGGCAUGUGCUUGUAGUCUCAGAUACUCAGAAGGCUGAGGUAGGAGGAUCCCUUGAGCCCAGGAGUUCAAGGCUGCAGUGAGCUGUGAUUAUACCAUGGCACUCCAGCAUGGGUGACAGAGCAAGACUUUAUCUCAAAAAGAAAAAAAAAUACUGUGUUUCUGGUUUGCAAUUAUACUGAGUAUUCCAGAUAUGAAGUGACCAGCUCAUAGCACUUGCAACAAGAUUAUUCUCUUCUGUAGUCUGGUUGCUAUAUUUCUAAUAAUGUGACUCAAGAUUUCAUUCAUUUUACCUCUGGACUUAUCACUCUUUGAACUUUACGGUUUAUCACUAGGUCUUUUUCUCUAAAUGAGCUAUUGUUAGGCCAGUUUUCUUCUUCCUCUUGCAAUCCUGUUUUUCAGUGGUUGAUGGCAUUUAACCUAACGUGGAUUUUCACAUAACAAUUGCUAUUUUAAAAUGUUAUUAGUUACUUAACCCAUAUGAUUUAUCUUAGAACCACAGAACCUCAGAGCUAAAAUGAACAUUUUAUAAUAACAAACCGGGUCCAAAAUAAAUGACUUACAUAGAUUUAUAAGGUAAUUAAUGACAGAGCUGAGUCAAGGAUUCAUGUUUCUUGAUGCCUAGUUUAGUAGUCUUUGAUGCAACAGACAUCAAGUACAUAUUAUAUCUAGAAGUAAUGUAUUAAAGAUAAUCUUUUGGCUUAAAUCAUUUUAGAAUGUGUAACAUCCUUGUAAUACAAGUCAUUACCCAUUUCAACUAGAGAAGAAGAUAUAUAGAAAUAUCAAAUGUUAACAAGGUAAUAGGCCAUUGCUUUUGUGUAAUUCAAAAUUUGAUAAUGAUUUUGUUCUUUGCCCUAGUUAUUGAUAAAAUUCUUAAAGUGAACAUUGCCCUACUGCCUAUUUCUAGGUGCUGUUCCCUUUAAUAAGUAUAUUUUGAACAUCAUUUGUUUAACCCUGUUUUAACCAAUUAGAAAUCUAUCUACUUGAAUUAUGUUCAUUCUCUUCCCUAUGUAUUCUUUUUGAGUAACAAAAUGAGAUUAUUUUAAUAUGACUAGAAAGGAAAUAUAUCUUAAUAUGAGGGUGUACAAACUUUUGUUGUCUUAAAUAAAGAUUGACAUGUCAAAUCUGUAAAGAAUAAAAGUAGACCUCAUUUUUAGGUUUAUUAUUUUUUAAAUACCACAAAUGACAGUAAAGUUGCCUUCAUUUAAAUUGGUACCUUCAGUUACCCACCACCCCCAACCACUUCAAUAGUUAAAUGCAUCUUACUUAAACAUAUUGGAAAAUUUGGAGUAGAAUCUUAAUUAAUGUUAAUUUCAUGUCUUUGAUGAUAUACAAUGUCCCUGCAAGAUUAAAACAUGAUAAUGGGAGUAACAAAAAAUCACUGUUAUUUAGUUUUUUAAAUUUUGCAUUUAGUGACUUUGAACAGUACAAAUCAACUUAAAAUGUAUGCUUUGCUACUGACUAUAACACUGACAAUUGUAUCAUCAAGAGCAAAUACUCAGCUUUGAGACCUUGGAUCUAAAAAGCUAAAACUCUGCAUUUCUGUUAAACAUGUAUUGAUCUGGCAGUUGACAGCAGGUUGUCAAAGUGCCUUAUGGUGGAAGUUGUAAUAGAUGAUAUCUACGUCCUCCUCUAAUGAGUGAGUCUACCAAAGACCAUGGAGAGGAAAAUGUGCCUCUUAUUGCCUGACUCCUGAUGAAUAAGACUUCAGUGAAGUGCAGAAAACAGGCCUCUGCUAGGUCUAUCCAUGACAGGCAAGUUACCCAAAUGAAAACCUUGGGCUCUGUCUCAGCUGUCACCCUAACUUUCAAGUGACAGCAGCUAGCCUUUCAAAGUUCUAAGCACCUUUGAAGAGUUUCUGAUAACACAUUUAAAAGUAUUAUCACAGAUGAAAGAGAAUUCAUUAUGUCAGACCUACCUCAAAAGUUUUAAGUUUGUUCUUAAGUCCUUUCAGAGAAAUUAACAAUCCAGGAAUAAAUCUUUUAAUUUACCCUACCUAUUGUGGUUACUAGUACAAGGCACCUUUCUGAUAAUGAAACAGAAAUCCUUUCAUUCCUGGAAUUUCCUGUUGGGAGUGUAGAGUUUUCUGAGCAAUAUGUAACGUUGGUUAGUUACGCAAUAUGUUGGAUUUUACUGCCAGCUUUGUUUAAAAAGGGUGUGAGAGGCUUUGACCAACAGGAAUGUGAAGUCAAAGUUAAGUAUGGCAUCAUCUUACCACCUGUCACAUGAAUAAACCCGGAUUCAUAAGCAAAUAUGUUAUACAUUUAAGUGUUUUUAUUAACUCAGAUAAGCUAACUAUAAAAUAGUUUUAUCUUUACCUGUAUAUAAUUUGGAGAAACUAUCUUUUUCCCUCCAGGAAAAUGUUAGUGGAGAAAAAUUGGUCCCCAAAGUUGCAUACAAAAGUUAUUAAACAUGUGAGGGAGGUUGUCUUCAGUGAUUGCAGGGGAGAUGGAUGGAUCUGGAGAUAUGCUCAUAAUAUAUUUAAAUCCCAGUACAUGGGUGAGAGUCAAGUCUUCAGCACUAUGGCAAACCUGCUAAGAUUCAGGCCCCUGCUCUCUCCUCUGUCUCUAGCUACUUGGAUAGGUGCUUAGUUCUCCCACAUAACAUUUCAAGAUCUGUUUAGAAUAACCCCUCCCAAUCUUAUGCAGAAAAGCAUCCAUAUGCUGUUUUUAAGGAUAUAGAGACUAUGUUGUAGUCUCCUUCAAUAAUACAUUACCUAUUUUUAAUAACUUUAAGCCUCAGAAAUUUCUUAGGUUAAUAUCUAAUCUAAUUUUCUCUGUAAGGCAGUUCUCAACCUUAGCACUAUUGACAUUCUGGGCUGGAUAAUCCUUUGCUGGUGGGGAGCAGGGGGGACUUGCCUGUGCAUUAUGAGAUAGAUGUUUGGCAGCAUGCCUGGGCUCUACUCACUAGAUGCCAGUAGCACCCUGCUCCCGGUUAUGAUUGCCAAAAAUGUCUCCAAACAUUGUCACAUGUUCCAUAGGGGUCAAAAUUGCCCCUGUUUGAGAACCACUGCUCUAAGACAGCAUAGAAUGUUAGAUAACUGUCCAGUUUUUAUUUUCUCUUUUCCACUUGGCUGUGAUUUACUUGAGAUCUCACUUAAGAGGUGAGACUGGAACCUGGGUUUCCUAACUUCACUGUUAGUUUUUUUCCUAACACACCAUGCUUUCUUGGUUUAAGAUGCUCUGAUACCCUACUUAUGGGCUUGUCCAGCUAUGAGUUCUGUUACAGUAUAGCUAACCAUUUAGUAACCUACUCCACAUUAUGCACAUAAAAUCUGUAGUUCUCCUUAAUAUCCACUUGUACAUAUUGUUUUGGCUUGUUUCUCCCAGAAGCAAUCCUGAAAUGGGAAUUUGUGUAAAAGCGGCUUAUUAGGAGGUGUUCUCAGGAAAAAUUGGUAGAGGAGUGGGGAAGUGGCCAGGGAAGAGAAGGAAACAAAACAAUGGUACAAUGUCAGGCAAACUUCCAAGCAAGUAAUUUUAGCUCAGUCCCCCUGGAGAGCCCUGGAGACAGUGUAGAUCAUAUCUCAGAACUGUUCCAAUCAGGUACAAGAGAAAAAAACUACAGUGUGCAUACUUCCCUGCCCAUCAGUCAUUGUUUGAGGUGGAGUUUCUUAGCCUUGAUACUAUUGACAUUUUGGGGGUAAUUCUUUGGUUUUUUUUGUUUUUGUUUUUGUUUUUGUUUUUGUUUUUUGUCUUGGGAGUCUGUCCUGCGCAUUGUAGGCUGUCUGGCUACAAUCUCUGGCUUCUAUGUGUUAGAUGCCAGUAGCCUCCCAGCCACCUUUCCCGGCCCGGUUAUGACAACCAAAAGUAUCUCUAGACACUUUGACUCCUGGAGCUCAAAGUCACGUCCUCAUUCAGAACCACUGGUUUAAGUGUCCCUGGGGAGAUGUAAAUUUCCAGGAAAUUUACUCAGGCAAAAUGGUCUUUGGCAGCUUAAGAGCAGCCCUCUGACUGACACUGGCAUUGGCUGUGGGGGUGAAAGCACACCAGGAGCCAUGUGCGUGAAAAGGUUAAUGAAUUCCAGUAGCUAUGGUUGGAGUGCUGAUAUCAUGUGCUACCUGUAUAUUGACUUAUUAAAUUUCUCCUUUUCAGCCAUGUGAGCAUAUUUGAUAUAAAGGCACAGUUUUCUUUGAAGGGCUUUUGGUGGACUGAGUCAACCCAGUGUGCCACAUGUUAUAGUCAGUGCCACUAGAGCAGUAUCUGACUCAUCCUACUGUUGCCAUUAUACACCAUAAAUACCUCUCCACUGAGGCUAAUUUUAAGCUCUGUGGAAUUAGUUUGAUCAGAAACCUGAAUCAAGAAAGAAUUUCAUAAGUUGGAACCAUUCCUGCUAGACUAGACUUACUGAUUUUUGUUUCACUCUAAUGACAGAAAAUCAAUGUGUUUUGGCUGUGUUUUUCUAAUCUUGAAUCUAUUUUUGUUGUACCUGCUGUGCCCAAUUUACCAUUCAUUCAUUCAAAAAGUGUUUACUGAGUGCCUAAUAUGUGCCCAGCGCUUUGCUUGGUAAUAGGAAUACAAUAGGAGACAAAAGAGAGAUGGUUGCUGUAUUAAUGGAACUUCCAGUCUAGUAAGGGAGAAAGACAAGAAAUUAGUUACAGUUCAAGGAGCAGGAUUGUCUGAAAAUAGCCUUGAAUUCUCACUCUAGGUUUCCUGGACUGUGAGAACGGGGGAGUUCUCUUCUAUGUCAUGGGAGGGGCUGUGCUCAAAUCUUAUGAGACUGGUGGCUUUGUCUUCCCAGCAGAGGUGAUUUCAACUUUGCAGGAAAGCUGGCAUUCUUAAACAACUCCAGUAAGCAGCCUGCUGGGCUGUCAAAGUCAGACUGCCUGGCACCAAGUGUAUUCCUCCAAUGUUAAGGCUGUAUAAACAGGGAGAAUAGCAGAGAGGCCAUUGUCUCUCUAACUAGAAGCAAAUCCCCAUAGUAUUGGUUCUUGUAGGAGGAGAAUGAGAUACCCAUAUCUUUUGUUCUCUCACUAACCGUGGCAUUUUACUUGUAAGUUUUCUCUUUCCCCAAUAAAGUAUAUCUUUAACCCAU